rnacentral:snRNA from 1 species
ACUUACCAUGUGGAGAUGAGGCAGCCUUCACUGCUGCUUGCAUCGUGGAUGUCCAAUUCUCACGACACAAAAUGGAGCAAUGGGCAUCCAUUUGGGCAACAGCCUGCCACCCAAUUUCUUUUCCGGGAGAUCAAGCAAGACUUGCUUUCUCCUUAU